GCCAGGUGUGGUGGUGCACAUCUGUAAUCCCAGUAGCUCAGGAGGCUGAGGCAGGAGGAUUUCAAGUUCAAAACCAACCUCAGAAACUUAGUGAGGCCCUAAGCAACUCAGCAAGACCCUGUCUCUA
rnacentral:sRNA from 1 species